GCCAUCGUGGUAUAGUGGUAUGAGGGUUAGACUGCAACACGGGAGGCCAGGGUUCGAAUCCCAGCUUGGCC